GAGUUUGGAUUCUGGCGGUUUUUCAAGUUGCUAGACUUCGUUUGGCGACGUCAGGGACUGGAGAGAGAAGAAAGAUGAGGACUGAGGAGUGACUAUAGAGGAGAGAGAUAGCGGUGAUUUCCGCACUGUUUUCCCAAAAGUACCAUUGUUUUUCUUAACGGAAUUCCCGAACACUGUUUCAUUUAAUUUUUGAUUAAAAAAAACGAAAAACGAAAAACUGCAACACUGCCAGACACCCCCUUAGUUAACCCAUUUUGAUUGAUGACUUUUGCAUCCUUGGUUGUAUUUUUUAUUUUAUUUUUGUAAUUCUGGGUCAGUUUGUUUCUUUCGCUGGUUUUAUGAUAGAAAAUGUUUGUAAAUUUUUUUAAUUAGAAGAAAAUUGGUUGGAAUUAUAAUUAUGACAUCAUUUUCCGAUAUUGUUAGCUGAAAUAUGACCCGAGGUUGUAAUUUAAAGUAGAGGAUUAAGUUUGGGGUUUUAAUUGAAAAAAAGUGAAAGUUUGAGGUUAUAACCCGUAAAGAGGGAAGUUUUGAGGGUUAUGUUUGGAAUUUUUUCCUUAGUUCACGCUCCACCAAAGUUUCCAGCCUUCCUUCUACUUUUGGGGCCCUAUCCGACCGAAUCACUGUAGCAAACCCUCUGUGUACUCAUUUCUUACUAGCCAAGUAGUACAACAACUGUAUAUUCUUGAUCAAAACAGAUCAACUCGCCUUCUUGUUAUCUUAAAGUUGGUCGUGUCGGACCCUGCUUCUAUUAGCUGACAUAAAAGACUAAGAUUCUUCGCCCAACAGGGGUCUGCCAUCUCAGGAAGCCAAAGGCCUAAAUAAUCCUACCGUUGUUGUUUGUUCUAGCGUUGUAGAACUGGUGGUUCAUUUUAGCAUUAUGGCUGGAAAAUUGACUUAAUUGAUUAUUUCUUUCCACCCUCUUGUUAUUCUCUGUUGCUUAUAAAUAUUUCUAGAACAACUUUGUUCUCGUGUGCUAUCCUUCCAUUUUGUGUUUGAAGUAGACCAGUCAAAAAUCGAUCCAACCCGAAAAGCGCCCGAACCCGACCCGAAAAAAGGGUCUUGAACAAGAUUUCUCAACCUGUAACCUGUUUUAUCCGAACUCGAAUAACCCUAAAUUUUCGGGUCUAAAACGGGUCGGGUUCGGUAUGACCCGUCGGGUUAGUGAUAAAGUGAUUUAUUGUAUUUAUGUUGAAAAAAGGGUAAAAAACCAAAAACUAAACUCUCAAACAUUCAUCUCUCUCUCAUACUCUCGAACUCUCUGGUUUACCGCCGACAUGGGUCGACGGUCAAGCUCUCGUCCUCCCUUCCAUAAGCUAGGACUUUGAAGGCAAGUAAUAUUGUCACUUGGGGCUUUGAGGCUCUUCUGAGUUGCAGAUGUCUUCUGCAAAUGAAACACAAGACAAUUAGAUUGUAUGCUUGCCGGCAGGAGCUUUAGUGUGAAGCUGCACUUUGAUUGAUUUCUAUAGCUACUUCACGUGAGACCUGCAGCUCAUGCUCCGUCAAGCUUCAGUGUCAAUGCAGGCUAAUCAAGUGAUAAAAUAUGUUUACCUUAAGUUCAGAAGCAGCAGAUGACAGCUGGUGGUUGCUCUCAUCCUUCAUUUUGUUGUAUCUUUCUAUCACCAUUUUCAUGCUGAAAGUAGCAUUCAGAACAUCAAUGUCAUGGUUCCAAAAGAUAUGAAUGUAGAGAAAUGAACAUUCAUGUUAAUGUGGGUUAAAUGAUAACUUCAAUUAAUUUCUUUGGUAAGUUAAUGCUGAGUGAUUUACUUAAUAUGUAUAAAAUCUAUUUGGUGGUUGUGAACUAAAAUCUCAGGUUAGUAAUGUAACAGGAGCUCUCUCUUUAUUGCCUAAGAUAACCCUACUGCUCUAUACAUGUAAACAAGCUAGUUGAGUAUAUGUGGGUUUUUAGUACUCCGUAGUUAGUUAGUUAGUUAGUUAGUUAGUUAGUUAGUUGUUGAAAGAGGGGAUUUCCCUUGAAUUCCAAGGUAGCGUUAGAUGAUGGGACUCUUAGAAGUGUUUUUUUGGCCUGCUGAAUUAACUUGUGCAGAAGAGAAAUUGCCAUUCCCUCCAGUGAGUGAACCUCAAAGGGCGGCCAGCUAACAGGAUGAUCACACAAGCAAAGCAAACUACCCUAUAGCAACUUCAUUCAGAUAUAUAUGUCGAAAAGGAGGUGGAUGCGAAUAUCAUUUUCUCUAUUGCACAAACUAAUAUGUGGAUGAUAAAUACUACGAUGCAGGUCUCAUUCACAACAAUAUGGAAGAGCGUAUGCACAUGUGUCGGAUCUCAUCCACGACGACAUAGAAGAGGUAUAUACAAGUGUUAGAUAUCAUCUACAACAAUCGUAGUUUUGUCAAAUUGGAAUUUUAUUUGGUUUAAAUCAACAUAUAUUUAUUAAUGUUUAACUUCUUUUGUAGAUAUAGAUAGUGUAUGACUUUUGAUUAAUAAAUUACUCUUGAUUUUUACAAAAAUAGUUGUAAUUUCCAAAAAGUAACCCUAGCUAGAACACUAAAAUUUUGUAAAUGGUAGUUUUCGAUUCUUCUUUGUGAUUAGUAAAGAUGACAAUGAAUCCCGCAACCGGCUCUUCAAAUUUGGACCGGAUGGAUCAGGAUUUGGAUUUAUUUCUGAUGCAUAGGAUAUGGAUCAGGAACCUAUU